rnacentral:rRNA from 1 species
UAAUGUGAAUUGCAAGAAUUCAGUGAAUCAUUCGAAUCUUUCGAACGCACCUUGCACCCUUUGGUAUUCCGAAGGGUACACCCGUUUGAGUGUCAUU